rnacentral:rRNA from 1 species
AGUGAACGCUGGCGGUAGGCCUAACACAUGCAAGUCGAACGGCAGCACAGUAAGAGCUUGCUCUUACGGGUGGCGAGUGGCGGACGGGUGAGGAAUACAUCGGAAUCUACUUUUUCGUGGGGGAUAACGUAGGGAAACUUACGCUAAUACCGCAUACGACCUACGGGUGAAAGCAGGGGAUCUUCGGACCUUGCGCGAUUGAAUGAGCCGAUGUCGGAUUAGCUAGUUGGCGGGGUAAAGGCCCACCAAGGCGACGAUCCGUAGCUGGUCUGAGAGGAUGAUCAGCCACACUGGAACUGAGACACGGUCCAGACUCCUACGGGAGGCAGCAGUGGGGAAUAUUGGACAAUGGGCGCAAGCCUGAUCCAGCAAUACCGCGUGGGUGAAGAAGGCCUUCGGGUUGUAAAGCCCUUUUGUUGGGAAAGAAAAGCAGCAGGUUAAUACCCCGCUGUUCUGACGGUACCCAAGGAAUAAGCACCGGCUAACUUCGUG